rnacentral:rRNA from 1 species
GAUGAACGCUGGCGGCGUGCCUAAUACAUGCAAGUCGAGCGAACAGAUAAGGAGCUUUCUCCUUUGACGUUAGCGGCGGACGGGUGAGUAACACGUGGGUAACCUACCUAUAAGACUUGGAUAACUUCGGGAAACCGGAGCUAAUACCGGAUAACAUUUGGAACCGCAUGGUUCUAAAGUGAAAGAUGGUUUUGCUAUCACUUAUAGAUGGACCCGCGCCGUAUUAGCUAGUUGGUAAGGUAACGGCUUACCAAGGCAACGAUACGUAGCCGACCUGAGAGGGUGAUCGGCCACACUGGAACUGAGACACGGUCCAGACUCCUACGGGAGGCAGCAGUAGGGAAUCUUCCGCAAUGGGCGAAAGCCUGACGGAGCAACGCCGCGUGAGUGAUGAAGGGUUUCGGCUCGUAAAACUCUGUUAUUAGGGAAGAACAAACGUGUAAGUAACUGUGCACGUCUUGACGGUACCUAAACAGAAAGCCACGGCUAACUAAGUG